rnacentral:rRNA from 1 species
AUGUGGCACAACACCGGCAAUACCUUGCUGGUGAUGGGCAACGGCCGGCAGACGGGCAGCAAAAAGGUUCUGGUGCUGCACACCAACAAGAACUUCGACCAGCAGAGGUCCAACUGGGUGAUGCACCAGUACCACCUCAGGGACCUGGAGAAAGAGAAGGAGCGGGAGCUGGUCCUCUGCAUGAUUUUCUACCAGACGAACACUAGGGCUAGGAGUAAAAAGAUUAUAAGUCGAGCAAGUUUCAACUGGGCUGUAGACUGCCCAGGCUUGGUUUUGUUUUUAACAGGCCCAGCCCAUGACGACAACGGGGCACAAAGAUCCAGCAGCACACAGUUCAUUGAUGAAAGCCGUGUGCCGACCAAACCCCGCCCACGAUCUGAGUCGUGCUUUCUGAUUGGCCAGAACCCAAACCCCACGGAUCGUAUGUCUGCACCGUUGGAUGCUCCCAGAUCAAACGGUGAUCCUCAUCCCUUUCGACAACACAUGCAGUUCUGA